GCCGAUGGAGUGACCUUUGAAUGCUUGGUGGUGACUUUCUUGGGGCGGGCUCCCUGAUGAGUCAGAAUAGCCAAGGUAGGAGCAUUAUAGCCGAUCAGUGAUAUCGGAGACACAGAUCGGAGAUCAAAAUUUUUCCCACUCCUGCUCCUGGUCAGUACUGGGUCAUCAACAUGUCACAAGAAAAUUAGUUGCCGAUGAAAUUAAAAAUAAAGGAAAA
rnacentral:lncRNA from 1 species